rnacentral:rRNA from 1 species
AGAGAGAGACAUGCGCGCAUAUCAAUAAGCGGAGGAAAAGAAACUAACAAGGAUUCCCUUAGUAACGGCGAGUGAAGCGGGAAGAGCUCAAAUUUGAAAUCUUCAAGGUUCUACCUUGACGAAUUGUAGUUUAAUAGAAGUGUUUUUCUGUUAGUGGAGUUGGCUAAAAGUUCUUUGGAAUAGGACAUCAUAGAGGGUGAGAAUCCCGUAUUUGGUCAUUCCUCCUAGCGUUGUGAUACACUUUCAACGUAGUCGGAUUGUUUGGGAAUGCAGUCCAAAAUGGGUGGUAAAUUUCAUCUAAAGCUAAAUAUUGGCGAGAGACCGAUAGCGAACAAGUACCGUGAGGGAAAGAUGAAAAGAACUUUGAAAAGAGAGUUAAACAGUACGUGAAAUUGUCAAAAGGGAAGCGUUUGACACCAGUGUUGUUUUUCCGAAAAUCAAUUACGAAUGUUUUAUUUUUGAGGAGUUAUGACUUCAUCGGCUUGCUCCUUUCUUUAUGAAACUUUCUUAAUGCACUUUUCGGUUAACAAGUCAACAUCAAUUUCUUUUGUUGUAAAAGGGUAUGAGGAAGGUGGCUUUCUUUUCGGAGAAAGUGUUUAUAGCCUUGUGCCUCUGCAAUCGGAGAGAUUGAGGUCUGCAGCGUAGAUCCUUCGGGGUUAGAUACGUUUGUGCUAAGUUAUAGCUUUUCAUAGACAACUUGUUGACUAUGUUUAGUCUUGUAGCUUACUCGCUGACGCUAUUUUACCUACGCUUAGGAUGUUGAUAGUCACAGCGUGUAC